UAAAUAGCAAAGAUAUACGUUAAUACAUACUUUAAUAUUUUUCUCCAGUAAGCUUAUGUACACACUUUGUCCAUACUUGGACGUGCUUUUGUAAUAUUUGCAUUUCCCACACAAGUGCACACACACACACACACACACACACACACACACACACACACACACACACACACACACACACACACUUCAGACGCUAACAGACCCAACCACGUUGUCAUUGUGUGUGUGUAUGUUUGCUUAACUUGUACAAGUGCUCUCUCUUGUCCAGAAGCUCCGUGAUGCAGCUGUCCACCAUGGUGGACAGACAGCCUGCAGACCAAAGUCCAGCACACCACUGAAGGGGAGGCCUCCUCUGACCGCACGUCCUUGCCCACAGGAAUGCCAGAGCUGAGAUUCAAACCCACAACUUCUAUCUCCUUCCCGAGAUUGCAAGCAGCGCCUGUGAAACGGUGGCCCUCGUGUCCCCCCUCGGGUGUGUCUUUAGUGAAGGUCUGAGAUCAAACUGCCUUUUGAAGUUGGAUUCUCUCUCUCUCUCUGUCUGUCUGCUCUGUCUGUCUGUCUGGUCUUGAGAUGAAAGCAGCGGGCAGCUUGGCGCUGGCCUCUGCAGACGGAAGGUCCUCUCUCUCUCUCACUCUCCCCCUGCGGUGAUGGAAACCAGAGGGCGAGCUCUAAGCCCUCCGCCCCCCCGGCCCGUGUCGUCUCCGCGGCUAAUUGAAAGUGGCUUGGCGCUUAUCCUUUCUUACUCCCGCCUUGCCCCUUCCUCGCCUAUCCCCCGGGAUGACCCCCCCCUCCCCCUUGCUGAUCUUGGGACAUCCUCAGUCAUCUUUUGGCAUAUGAAACCCCAAAAUGAAAACGGCUGUUUGGAAUAUCAAAGUCAAGGUCUGCUUUAUUCCAAGUUGCUGUGCUUGAUUCGAUUUCAAAUAAAAACCACAACAUGUUUCACCUUUUUAAUGAUUGACAACAAAGCUAUUGAGAGUGCGUAUCAUUUACAAUAAUUUCCAGUGCCGACGUUUCCACGGGAUCAUAAUUACAGUGCAAUAAGGCAACGUCUCUAUUUACAUCGCUUACAAAACUGUACAGAAGAGAAGAUAAGCGAGGUGGGUUAUUGCAUCAAUACACAUUUUUUCAAAACACCAGGACUCACAAAUCGUUCCAGGAGGAUUUUCAAACUUUUUAAAUACUGUACAGGUAAUGAAUUCACUAGCAGCAUUAAAUUGAAGUUCUACCACAGUUGUGAACAGUAAAGCGAGUAAAACAAAGUUGUGAA